GCGACGCAUAUCGGAGGAGUAAUCCACUGGUAUGACGGAGCGGCGAACGGGUGAGUAUCACGUGAGAAACCUGCCCCGAAGACUGGGAUAGCCCGGGGAAACCCGGAUUAAUACCGGAUAUUCUCUACAGAUCGCAUGGUCUGUUGAGGAAAGGCCUUUGCGCUUCGGGAUGGUCUCGCGGCCUAUCAGCUAGUUGGUGAGGUAAUAGCUCACCAAGGCAACGACGGGUAGCUGGUCUGAGAGGACGAUCAGCCACACUGGGACUGAGACACGGCCCAGACUCCUACGGGAGGCAGCAGCAGGGAAUCUUGUCCAAUGGGCGAAAGCCUGAGACAGCGACGCCGCGUGGGGGAUGAAGGCCUUCGGGUUGUAAACCCCUUUCAGGAGGGACGAAAUUGACGGUACCUCCAGAAGAAGCCCCGGCUAACUACGUGCCAGCAGCCGCGGUAAUACGUAGGGGGCAAGCGUUGUCCGGAAUUAUUGGGCGUAAAGGGCUCGUAGGCGGCUUGGUAAGUCGGCCGUGAAAGCCCGGGGCUUAACCCCGGGACGCCGGUCGAAACUGCCAUGGCUUGGGUCCGGUAGAGGAGAAUGGAAUUCUCGGUGUAGCGGUGAAAUGCGCAGAUAUCGAGAGGAACACCAGUAGCGAAGGCGGUUCUCUGGGCCGGUACCGACGCUGAGGAGCGAAAGCGUGGGGAGCAAACAGGA
rnacentral:rRNA from 1 species